AUGCCUCGGGUACGUCCUGUUCCCAGCUCCUUCUCCAGCACCCGCAGCCCCUCGGCUGACAUUUCAGAAACACAGCCCAAGCUGAAAUGGGCAGCCUGCCCAUGGAAGAGAUGGGGCAGAGGGAGACUGUGGCCUGUUCACACAGUUUGGUGGAAAGUGAAGACUGAAGGGGCUUAGGUGACCUUUUAAUCAGGAAGAUAGGGCACAUCAGGGACUCACUCCUCUUGAGGCUCCUCUCCGUUCCUGGGGACUCGGCUGCUUCUCAGACAUGGACAUGAUGCAGGUAUG
ensembl:lincRNA